rnacentral:rRNA from 1 species
UGGGGAAUAUUGGACAAUGGGCGCAAGCCUGAUCCAGCCAUGCCGCGUGAGUGAUGAAGGCCCUAGGGUUGUAAAGCUCUUUCACCGGUGAAGAUAAUGACGGUAACCGGAGAAGAAGCCCCGGCUAACUUCGUGCCAGCAGCCGCGGUAAUACGAAGGGGGCUAGCGUUGUUCGGAUUUACUGGGCGUAAAGCGCACGUAGGCGGACUUUUAAGUCAGGGGUGAAAUCCCGGGGCUCAACCCCGGAACUGCCUUUGAUACUGGAAGUCUUGAGUAUGGUAGAGGUGAGUGGAAUUCCGAGUGUAGAGGUGAAAUUCGUAGAUAUUCGGAGGAACACCAGUGGUGAAGGCGGCUCACUGGACCAUUACUGACGCUGAGGUGCGAAAGCGUGGGGAGCAAACAGG